GGUCAGCCGGACCGGACCGCGGACUAACACACACACAUCAGCCCGACCGGACCGCGGACUAACACACAGGUCAGCCGGACCGGACCGCGGACUAACACACAAGUCAGCCCGACAUCAGCCGGACCGGACUGCGAGCUAACACACACAGGUCAGCUGGACCGGACCGCAGGCUGACACACAGAUCAGCCCGACCGGACCGCGGACUAACACACAGGUCAGCCCGACAUCAGCCCGACCGGACCGCGGCCUGACACACACAGAUCAGCCCGACCGGACCGCGGGCUAACACACACUGAUCAGCUUGACCUGACCUCGGGCAAAUGGCAGGCUAACACAGGUGCGCGCUAACACAGGUCAGCCUGGCCCUCGGGCAUGGACUGUGUUUACGGGAACUUUCACUAACCUGCCUUAUUUGGCUUCCGAAGCCGCAAGGCUUUCUGCUUCCGGAUCAAACAGAGACACUGUGGCGACACAACUGUGCCUUUUUCUUAUUAAAAAGUUAAUAACCUGCUCUACUUACCGACAGCUGCAUCAGCGGGAAAUGCCGAACUUGUGGUUUUCAGCGGUGCCAAGUCUGUGUGGCUCAUAAAAACCUCAAAUUCAUUAAGGGUUCAUCCUGGCCUCCUUCUCUUGGUUGAGAGUACCCCAUUUUCAACUUUUGGGCGCUUGUCCAGGGUUGGUACUCCCCUCACACCCCAGGAGUGCUCCAGGAUUGGGGCGAGUCUGCUCCAGUCUGAUCUUCCUCCUGGUGAACGCGUGCUCUUCUGGUAAUCUUCGUUCAGAAGCGAUCAGAGAUUCCAGGCCCUGGGGACACCUCAGCAGUCUUCGGGAAGGGCGAUUCCAUUAGUCUGAGGUCCUCUAGAUAAACUGAUUGGUCUAAGUGUCUGAGGAAAUCGUGGUGGCCACUUGUGGUUUGUCUACUUUCUUGUAUUUCUCACUUUUCUUAUCUGUGUCUGUUCAAGCCUGUCUGUCACUUUCUACCUUCCGCUGUCCAAGGGGACAUUUGCCUUCUUUGCCACCCUCUGGUCAGUCCCUUUUUGCCUUUGAAUGGACUGACCCUAAAACUAGCCAAUUGACUUGGACCUGCUUGCUACAAGGGUUCAAAAAUUCACCCACUCUGUUCAUUGAGGCCUUAGGGAGAGAAAGACCUGGCUGCCUAUUGGGCAGAUCACCCAGAACUCCGGUAGAGACACCACCUUUGACCUCCUGAGUCUUCUGGGAAAACCGGGUUACCAAUGUCAGCUAAGAAGGCCCAAAUUUGCAGACAACUGGUCACCCAUUUCGGAUACCAACUAACCCAAGGUAUUGCCAGACAGCUGUGGGCAAUGGCCCCCACCUGCCGCCUGCAGGCCAGCUGCUCCCUGCCCCCAGGGCUGAUGGACAGGCCUGAGAAGACCAGUGCUUCCCCACCACAUGUGGAAUGGUUACCAAAAUGACCCACUGCAAAGAUGCCUGCACUGUGAAAGCUAGGCAACAGGAGGAAGUUUUCAGGGAUAAUUGCCCUAAGCGUGCCGAGUGGCUGUGGUCCCUGCAUAAGGCUGUGCAAGCGUAGCCAACUGCUAGACAAGGAAGUACUCGGCAAGGUGAUCUCCUUCUGCCUGUGAGCUCCAUUCUCCCUUGGGUAGAUGGCUGCAAGCCAAAUACAAGGGGCCAGGCCUCCCACUCAACUGCUUGGGCUUAUCAUCCACCACAAAUGCAAACCAACCACACAGUGUAGCUCAGGCUGCAAGUCCGCCAACUCAAGAAACCCGCCCUGUGGAACCCAGGACCAACACCGACCACAUCCCAGCUGGGGCCGGAAUCCAAUACACCCUCUCCUCGGGCGGGGCUCUGCUUAGGAAGGCAGCAACCUGAGCAGCCACUUCUCAAGGUUGUGAGUCUCCCGUUCACGGCCUAGCUGCACAAAAGCUUCCAAGAAAAGAUGGCACUCCAACAGGGCAGAUCUGGCCUUCCAACUUCACACUCAGUGCCUUCCGUCAGCGUGCAGACCACCUGAUCAGCAUCCCCCAGGCCACACGUUUAUUUUAGAAAACGGUGACGCCACUUCUAAUGUUUACCUGACAAUUAAACUAACAGUGAUGCUGCCUCGGAUCCAGUCAAAGGCCUGAUGCACUGUGGCACUUUGUCCCCAGACCCUCUAAUGUCUUGCGUUUUUUGGUUUAUUUUUUAUUUUUACAUGUAUGAGUGUUUGUCUGCAUUCAUGACGUGUGUACCACAUACAUGUCUGGUGCUCAUGGAAGCUAGAAGAGGGAGCUGGAUCCCCAGGAACUAGAGUUACAGAUGGUUGGGAGCCGACAUGUAGGUGCUAGGAAUUAAACCUACGCCUGUGCAGGAGCAGCCAGUACUGAGCUUUGUCUCCAGUCCCUCUCAUUUUAAUUUUAAGCCACCUGGAAGCCUCUACAAACAAACUGAAUUUUAAAAAAAAACAAAAAAAACUUGCUUGUUUGAGUCAAGGUCACCUUGUGAAGACCAGGCUGUCCUGGAACUCCCGGCAAUCUUCCUGUCUCAGUUUCCUGAAUGUUGAGAGGACAAGCUUGCAUUCAUGCUAGACCCAAAUACUUUUCUAAAAAAGUGGUCACAUGCAGGGCUGGAGAGAUGACUUAGUGGUCAAGAGCAUUGGCUACUCUUCCAGAGGACCUGGGUUCAAUUCCCAGCACCCACAUGGUAGCUCACAACUGUCUGUAACUCCAGUUCCAGGGGAUCUGACACCUUCACCCAGACACACAUGCAGGCAAAAUACCAAUGAAACAUAAAAUAAGAAUAAAUAAAUUAUUUUAAAAUGUUUUUAAAAAAAGUGAUCACAUGCAAAAUUGCAGAGUUAAAGCAGCAAGUGGCUGAGAUGUGCCUGGGAGGCAGGCGGGAGGCCCUGCGAGACUGCAUCUGACCUCGUGACCAGGCUUGUUUGGGAGGUUGAAUCCAUCCUUGCAAGCUGCAGGAAUGGGGAUGCUGAUGCAGUGAUGGAGGAGCCCGUGGAUGACGAUAAAGGUAGUUGUCUAGUCAGGGUUUUUAUUGCUGUGGUGAAACGCCAUGACCAAGGAAGAAAGGGUUUAUUUCCCUUACACAUCCAGGCCACAGUUCAUCACUGAGGGAAGUCAGGGCAGGAACUCAAGCAGGACAGGAACCUGGAGGCAGGAGUGUAGCAGAAGCUAUGAAAGAACACUGCUUGCGGCUUCCUCAACUGACUUCUUGUCAACUUGUCACACAUAUGUGUCACCGUUAAACAUCAUUUUCUAUUCUUCUCCAUCCCCAAGAUUUCAAAUCACAAUAUAAAACAGCUGAACUUCCAGGGCUGGAGAGGUGGCUCAGAGGUUAAGAGCACUGGCUGCUCUUCCAGAGGUCCUGAGUUCAA